UACGAAGGGGGCUAGCGUUGUUCGGAAUUACUGGGCGUAAAGGGCGCGUAGGCGGUGUGUCAAGUCAGGCGUGAAAGCCCCGGGCUCAACCUGGGAAUUGCAUUUGUGACUGCACGGCUAGAGUGUGUCAGAGGGGGGUAGAAUUCCACGUGUAGCAGUGAAAUGCGUAGAGAUGUGGAGGAAUACCGAUGGCGAAGGCAGCCCCCUGGGAUGAGACUGACGCUCAUGUACGAAAGCGUGGGGAGCAAACAGG
rnacentral:rRNA from 1 species